rnacentral:lncRNA from 1 species
UCGGGUGGUAGGGUUACCCCUUCCUUCCUUCUGAGUUGUUUCAUCUUAGGUCUCAAGCCGGAGAUCCGUCGUGAGGUGGUCGCCCAACAACCCCCAACACUAUCUCAUGCGGUCGGCUUAGCAAGGUUGCAUGAAGAAAAAAAUAUGGGAUUCAACCGUGUUCAGAAGGUUAAGCCAAUGUUUCCUUGGCCUCCUUCUCUCUCACUCGCACCAUUACUUCCCCUAUCUAGCCACCAAUCGUUAAAACCCUUCCCUCACUUCUACCCUCACCCCC